CUGUGUCAGUGCUGCACACACUUUAAGAGCUGUAGUGCUGAUCAGAGUGUGUUCAGUCCUUUCAGAGCCACUGACACGCAGCACAAUGAUGAUGGUACUGAUUCUACUGCUGGGGACACUGGGACUCCUCGCUCACCAGUCCUUUGGGGAAAUCGUCCUGACUCAGUCUCCAGGAUCUCAGUCUGUUUCUCCAGGACAAUCUGUUACUCUCACCUGUACAUCCAGUCAGGGUGUUAGCAAUUACCUCCACUGGUACCUGCAGAAAUCUGGAGAAGCUCCUAAACUCCUGAUCUAUUAUGCAUCUAACCGUCAGUCUGGGAUUCCAGAUCGUUUCAGUGGCAGUGGAUCUGGUUCCCAAUAUAAUCUAAAAAUCUCUGGAGUUCAGUCUGAAGAUGCAGGAGAUUAUUACUGUCAGCUGGAAUAUGUCCCGUACACACAGUGUUAUAGCGCCGUACAAAAACCUCCCUCAGCUGUAGAGGAAGUGCUCUGACUCAGAAACACACACUGAUCUGAGAACAGCUGCAGAGCUGCUAAAGCUGCACUCCACUGAACAUCAUCAAACGUGCUGAUGUUUAAAACAUAAUCAUUCCUGAAAAGCAGAAAACUCUUCAUCAGCUGUUCCUUCUGUGAUGAAAAAUCAGCUGAUGUGUGUAAUGGUAUAUGAUGAUUUCCACCUUCUGCUAAGAGGAGCAGUGUCUACUCCACACUACUGUAACACACAAUGUAGUGCAGGAUCUUUCAAUAAGACUCAACAUUCAUUUCUAUAUUAUUCUCUAUUUCAAUAUUCAUUUUCUCAUCAUCUGUAAAGUUUAACCACCAAACAGUCUCCUUUUCUACACCAUAGAAAUAAAACUGAAUUGAAUUGAACACCUGAAACACACAUGACCCGAGUUCCUGCUGAAGGAAAAAUCACCACAAUAGAACAUAAAGCUUCAUUUGACUGAAGAUAAAUGUGAAGGCAGUUUGACGCAGGUCUACGUGAUGAUGUAAUGACUGUAUUUAUGGUGUCGUUUAAAACAUCUGUGCCUAGAAAGCUCUUGCUUCCUUUCCCCUGAUUAUAUUCUGAGCUAAAAGAGCAGACGAUCAGCUCCAGUCAGAGCACCUGGCUGAUAAAAGAUCAAUCUACUUAGGAAGAAAAUAAUGAAAAGCUUACGUCAUUGCAGAUCCAUAAAUCCAGCUGUACACUGCAGAGAGUCUGCAAAGUAGCCGAUCUGCUCCAUAAUCUUCAUCACCUGGAAAAGAGUUCUGUUCUAACCUGUAGACUAGAGAUCUAGGUCUGUAUCUUCAGGAGGUUCAGACUGUAGGAAAGGGGCUGAUGGGAGAAGUGCUUGGAUGUUCUACAAGGCUGUGGGUAACUUCCUGUCUCUAUCUAAACAAUCUAUGACUUUACUGGUUUGAAACAUAAAGGUUUUAUUUGUCAGAAGUUGCUUUAUAGUCCCGUGUGUUAAAUGCUGAAAUAAUGUAGCACAUCUGGAUCUGGUAAAUGAAUCAGAAUUGUUUAAAUCUUUAAUAAAAGACGAGGACACACACACUGGGCCUCAUUUAUCAAUCCUUUAGUAAAGUUGUGUGUGAAUGUUUGCACAGACCCGGGCGUCCUUCUUUUACACACUGCCGUUUCUUCUUAAUUGAGUGACGAGUCAUAUUUAUAUUCAUUUACAGAUUUGUGUUGACUUGCGCUCGUUAAUUAUUUUCUUCACGUUUAAAAUGUCUUUAAUUGAAGACAUGAAACAGCUGGUUUCACUAAAAUCUCAUUCCAUGUGUUUGUACAUUUGUACAUGUGUGACUGAAAUCAAUAAGAUCUAUAAACCUGACAGCAUCAUCUGUAUAUAAAAGUGCAGUAAUCCAUGACAAUUAUACGGACAUCAGCGAGGAGGUAAGGAAUAUUGUGCUGUUGUUGUGAUUGUUCAUUUCUGAAAGGUUUUGUUCCUAUAUUCUGACUGAAUUCUGGAGUUUAUUUUCAGGACUCCGCAGAAGAUUCUGCUAACAUCAGCAUCCUUCCUGAAGCACGUGGCUCUGAGAAGAUUGCACAUGUACAGUCGGCCAUGUUAGACGUUAGCAGUCCAAGAGGUUCCUGCCAGUAUCUGCUCUGAAGGUGAAGAGUGGAGGACCAGGACGACCCCACUAACAAAUCAAAAGCAGGUCAUUAACUUGGUGGAGGACUUUCAUUCCACUGGCCCACUCACGUCAGAAUUCAGUGGAGCUCAAUUCACAGCAGAGAUGGAAUCUGUUCUAGAUAAUAAUACACUGCUUUUGUCCUUUGAGUCUCGGAGCAUUGGG